UUCCAGUAGGUGUCAUUGUCUAUUCCAAGCUUGAGUCACUGUCCUCGGGGUGGUGGCGGUAAGGAGUUUGAGGGUUUGAGCUUCUGCCUGGAGCCUCCCUGCACUCUCAAAACCCCCAACAGCACAGAAUUCUGCAAUGCAGAACCAUCAUAAUGCUGAGGUCCAGAAACUGCCUGAGAUCAAGACAUCAUUAACUGGUAAUAGCAGACAAUUAAAAACUACUCCCCACAUCCACAGAAGCAUUAUUUUCCACUUGAGAAAU